rnacentral:tRNA from 1 species
CCUUACGUAGUAAAAUUUUAAUAUGCUGGGCUUAAAACUCAGAGAUGGGUUGAACCCUGUAAGGU